AUUGGCUCCAGUUCCAGAGGUGCUGCUCUCUGCUCAGAUCCCCCAUCUUCUUGCUCUUUGAACUCUAUUUCCAAGUUGAAUCCAAACACACCAUCAUUCCCAUACAUGUCUCGAUCCCACCGAUCAAUGAAACCAUGCUUCGGGUCAGGUUUUGGUGGAUUGAGGGGAGGGUUGCAACCAUGGUCAGGUUUUGGUGGAUCGAGGGGAGGAUUGCAAUCAUGUGUCAUCCCAUCGUCGACCUUCUGUUUCUUCCGAGGAGAUGAGGACCCAAUAGAGGCAUCAGGAAGUGGCUUUGACUGAGAUGGAUUUUGCUUAUCAUCAACCAAUGGUACCGCC
rnacentral:lncRNA from 1 species